GACGAACGCUGGCGGCGUGCUUAACACAUGCAAGUCGAACGGAAAGGCCCUGCUUUUGUGGGGUGCUCGAGUGGCGAACGGGUGAGUAACACGUGAGUAACCUGCCCUUGACUUUGGGAUAACUUCAGGAAACUGGGGCUAAUACCGGAUAGGAGCUCCUGCUGCAUGGUGGGGGUUGGAAAGUUUCGGCGGUUGGGGAUGGACUCGCGGCUUAUCAGCUUGUUGGUGGGGUAGUGGCUUACCAAGGCUUUGACGGGUAGCCGGCCUGAGAGGGUGACCGGCCACAUUGGGACUGAGAUACGGCCCAGACUCCUACGGGAGGCAGCAGUGGGGAAUAUUGCACAAUGGGCGGGAGCCUGAUGCAGCAACGCCGCGUGCGGGAUGACGGCCUUCGGGUUGUAAACCGCUUUCGCCUGUGACGAAGCGUGAGUGACGGUAAUGGGUAAAGAAGCACCGGCUAACUACGUGCCAGCAGCCGCGGUGAUACGUAGGGUGCGAGCGUUGUCCGGAUUUAUUGGGCGUAAAGGGCUCGUAGGUGGUUGAUCGCGUCGGAAGUGUAAUCUUGGGGCUUAACCCUGAGCGUGCUUUCGAUACGGGUUGACUUGAGGAAGGUAGGGGAGAAUGGAAUUCCUGGUGGAGCGGUGGAAUGCGCAGAUAUCAGGAGGAACACCAGUGGCGAAGGCGGUUCUCUGGGCCUUUCCUGACGCUGAGGAGCGAAAGCGUGGGGAGCGAACAGGCUUAGAUACCCUGGUAGUCCACGCUGUAAACGGUGGGUACUAGGUGUGGGGUCCAUUCCACGGGUUCCGUGCCGUAGCUAACGCUUUAAGUACCCCGCCUGGGGAGUACGGCCGCAAGGCUAAAACUCAAAGGAAUUGACGGGGCCCCGCACAAGCGGCGGAGCAUGCGGAUUAAUUCGAUGCAACGCGUAGAACCUUACCUGGGUUUGACAUGGAUCGGGAGCGCUCAGAGAUGGGUGUGCCUCUUUUGGGGUCGGUUCACAGGUGGUGCAUGGCUGUCGUCAGCUCGUGUCGUGAGAUGUUGGGUUAAGUCCCGCAACGAGCGCAACCCUUGUUCACUGUCGCCAGCACGUUAUGGUGGGGACUCAGUGGAGACCGCCGGGGUCAACUCGGAGGAAGGUGGGGAUGACGUCAAGUCAUCAUGCCCCUUAUGUCCAGGGCUUCACGCAUGCUACAAUGGCUGGUACAGAGAGUGGCGAGCCUGUGAGGGUGAGCGAAUCUCGGAAAGCCGGUCUCAGUUCGGAUUGGGGUCUGCAACUCGACCUCAUGAAGUCGGAGUCGCUAGUAAUCGCAGAUCAGCAACGCUGCGGUGAAUACGUUCCCGGGGCU
rnacentral:rRNA from 1 species